UUCAAGCUACAAAGGGCGCGCGGUGGAUGCCUUGGGGCAAAGGGCCGAUGAAGGACGCGGUAAGCGGCGAAACGUCACGGGGAGUUGCAAUCAAGCCUUGAUCCGUGAAUAUCCGAAUGGGGUAACCCGGUGAUCGAGAGAUCAUCACUUCUACCUGAACACAUAGGGUAGAUAGAGGGCAGCUGGGGAACUGAAACAUCUAAGUACCCGGACGAAAAUAAAGUAAUAACGAUUUCGUAAGUAGCGGCGAGCGAACGCGAAUGAGCCUAAACCUAUAUAUUUAUGUAUGGGUGUUGUGGGGUCAGCAUCAAUAGCAUUAAGAAUGGUUAGCCGAAUGCCUUGGGAAGGGCAAUCAUAGAGGGUGACAAUCCCGUAGGCGAAAACUGGACUUAGCUGGCUGAUACCCGAGUACCACGGGACACGAGGAACCUUGUGGGAAUCUGGGAGGACCAUCUCCUAAGGCUAAAUACUCUUUGCCACCGAUAGCGCACUAGUACCGUGAGGGAAAGGUGAAAAGCACCCCGGGAGGGGAGUGAAAUAGUACCUGAAACCGUGUCGCCUACAAGCAGUUGGAGCCCUAGUAUAUUGGGUGACAGCGUGCCUUUUGCAGAAUGAGCCUGCGAGUUAAUGUACGUGGUUGCUUAACCCAUUCAGUGGGGAAGGCUGAGCGAAAGCGAGUCUGAAUAAGGCGUCCAAAUCUUCGGAUUAUAUAAUCGCGUGCAUUAGACCCGAAACUGUGUGAUCUACCCAUGUCCAGGUUGAAGCGGCAGUAAAGUGUCGUGGAGGACCGAACCGGUGUAUGUUGAAGAAUGCUCGGAUGAGGUGUGGGUAGGGGUGAAAUGCCAAUCGAACACAGAGAUAGCUGGUUCUCCCCGAAAUGCAUUUAGGUGCAGCGUUAUGCGUUUUCUAUCGGAGGUAGAGCACUGAAUGACCGAUGGGCCUUCCCGGGUUACUGACGUUUAUCAAACUCCGAAUGCCGAUAGAUUAGCAUGGCAGUGAGACAGUGGGGGAUAAGCUUCAUUGUCGAGAGGGAAACAGCCCAGACCUACUGCUAAGGUCCCUAACGAAUGACUAAGUGUAAAAGGAUGUGAAUUUGCGUAAACAGCCAGGAUGUUGGCUUAGUAGCAGCCACCAUUUAAAGAGUGCGUAACAGCUUACUGGCCGAAUGCAAGUUUGCGCCGAUAAUGUAUGGGGGCUCAAGUCAUUGACCGAAGCAUAGGACUUCAGUUUUUACUGGAGUGGUAGGGGAGUGUUGCGUGUGGGGUGAAGCAGUAGCGUAAGCCGCUGUGGACUGCACGCAAGUAAGGAUGCAGGCAUAAGUAGCGAGAAGACGGGUGAGAAUCCCGUCCACCGGAAGUCUAAGGUUUCCGCCGUACAGUUCGUCUGCGGCGGGUUAGUCGGUCCUAAGGCGAGGCUGAGGAG
rnacentral:rRNA from 1 species